AAAAUUUUGUGUGAAGUCAUUGGAGGAAAGUUUUUGGCAAGGAAAAGGCUUGGUACUUAAGUAGUCCAUUGUGACUCACCUCCCUUACCUGGAAAACUCCCUUCUCUAACUUUCCUAAACUUUCUCCAAGUAAAACACCUAUAUACACAAAGUUUUAGCCAUGUCUUCUUCUUCUCACUCUCCAAAGUCUAUAGAAAGUGAAGUAAAAUCUUUGAAAACUCUUUUAAAAGAAGUAUCCCAAGCGGUACAACUAAUUUCCUUUAGACAAUUGGAGAAUGAAAAUAAAAUUAAUGAGUUGGCUAGAGCUCAAGAAGAGAAAUCCCAAAACUCUCAAA
rnacentral:lncRNA from 1 species